rnacentral:rRNA from 2 species
AGGAAGUAAAAGUCGUAACAAGGUCUCCGUUGGUGAACCAGCGGAGGGAUCAUUACC